UACGUAGGGUGCAGGCGUUUAAUCGGAAUUACUGGGCGUAAAGCGUGCGCAGGCGGUUUCUUAAGUCAGAUGUGAAAGCCCCGGGCUUAACCUGGGAACUGCGUUUGAAACUGGGAGACUGGAGUGUGGCAGAGGGGGGGUGGAAUUCCACGUGUAGCAGUGAAAUGCGUAGAUAUGUGGAGGAACACCGAUGGCGAAGGCAGCCCCCUGGGUUAACACUGACGCUCAUGCACGAAAGCGUGGGGAGCAAACAGGA
rnacentral:rRNA from 1 species